GACGUAGGGCGCGAGCGUUUGUCCGGAUUUAUUGGGCGUAAAGAGCUCGUAGGCGGCUCGUUGCGUCGGCUGUGAAAACCCGCAGCUCAACUGUGGGCUUGCAGCUGAUACGGGCGGGCUGGGAUUCGGUAGGGGAGACUGGAAUUCCUGGUGUAGCGGUGAAAUGCGCAGAUAUCAGGAGGAACACCGGUGGCGAAGGCGGGUCUCUGGGCCGAUAUCGACGCUGAGGAGCGAAAGCGUGGGGAGCGAACAGG
rnacentral:rRNA from 1 species